UCUUGGGUUCGCAUCAAAUGGAUUUUCAUUGAGCUCCAAGAAGGAAAACGUCGCGGUAUAGAUUACGUGUGUGCGAAAAUUCCAUGCUCCGACGAAUGGGAUUUUUUUUAUAGUUUGGUAACAUUUAAUUUUUCGAGCGAAUAGUGAAUGGAGUUACAGUUUUAAAUAUAGAAAUUCAAUUGAUUAAGAGUGUCGAAAUAUAGUUGUGUUGAUUGACAGAAAAAGGAACUGAGUAAGAAGCUGCAAAAUAUCCGUGAAUAUUUUGCGGUUGUGUGAGUGUUUUAAAAGCAUCCGUAUCCGAAUCGAAUUUAAUUUUUUGUGUAUAUACAAGCGGCGAAGGGAAAAACACACUUUUUGCCUUUAACUAAGGAUAUUUUUCACUGAAGCCCUUUCUUGGGGCAUUUCAAACUGGCCCAUCAGUUUUGGUUUUCGUAUCCGCCACCAGGCGCUGGCGGAAAUUCGUCAAACAAAAAUUCAGCACAAACAGACGAAGAAAAGCAGCG